rnacentral:rRNA from 1 species
CCUACGGGGGGCUGCAGUGGGGAAUAUUGGACAAUGGGGGGAACCCUGAUCCAGCCAUGCCGCGUGUGUGAAGAAGGCCCUCGGGUUGUAAAGCACUUUCAGUGAGGAAGAACGCCUGGUGGUUAAUACCCAUCAGGAAAGACAUCACUCACAGAAGAAGCACCGGCUAACUCCGUGCCAGCAGCCGCGGUAAUACGGAGGGUGCGAGCGUUAAUCGGAAUUACUGGGCGUAAAGCGAGCGUAGGUGGCUUGAUAAGCCGGUUGUGAAAGCCCCGGGCUCAACCUGGGAACGGCAUCCGGAACUGGCAAGCUAGAGUGCAGGAGAGGAAGGUAGAAUUCCCGGUGUAGCGGUGAAAUGCGUAGAGAUCGGGAGGAAUACCAGUGGCGAAGGCGGCCUUCUGGACUGACACUGACACUGAGGUGCGAAAGCGUGGGUAGCAAACAGGAUUAGAUACCCUAGUAGUC